rnacentral:rRNA from 1 species
CAGGUGAACAAUUAAACGGCCGCGGUACCCUAACCGUGCAAAGGUAGCGUAAUCAUUUGUCUAUUAAUUGUAGACCAGUAUGAAAGGCAAAAUGAGGAUCUCUCUGUCUCUUAUAAUAAAUCAAUUAAACUGAUCUCCUAGUAAAAAAGCUAGAAUACCCACAUAAGACCAGAAGACCCUGUGAAGCUUAAACUAAACUAUUAAACCCUAUAAUACCUACUUUCGGUUGGGGCGACCUUGGAAAAAAAAAGAACUUCCAAAUACAUGACUACAACUCACACACUAGGCCCACAAGCCUAUAACCACGACCCAGUAUUACUGAUAAUUGAACCAAGUUACUCCAGGGAUAACAGCGCCAUCCUCUUCAAGAGUCCAUAUCAAAAAGAGGGCUUACGACCUCGAUGUUGGAUCAGGACAUCCUAAUGGUGCAGCCGCUAUUAAGGGUUCGUUUGUUCAACGAUUAACAGUCCUACGUGAU